rnacentral:rRNA from 1 species
GUGCCAGCCGCCGCGGUAAUACGUAGGGGGCGAGCGUUGUCCGGAAUCACUGGGCGUAAAGGGCGCGUAGGCGGUCAGGUAAGUCAGAUGUGAAAGACCGAGGCUCAACCUUGGGGUUGCAUUUGAAACUGCCUGACUUGAGUGCAGGAGAGGGAAGUGGAAUUCCCAGUGUAGCGGUGAUAUGCGUAGAUAUUAGGAGGAACACCAGUGGCGAAGGCGGCUUUCUGGGCUGCAACUGACGCUGAGGCGCGAAAGCUGGGGGAGCGAACGGGAUUAGAUACCCCGGUAGUCCUAGCCGUAAACGAUGGGUGCUAGGUGUUGGGGGGUAAAGACCCUUCAGUGCCGAAGCUAACGCGAUAAGCAUCCCACCUGGGGAGUACGGCCGCAAGGUUGAAACUCAAAUAAAUUGACGG